UCGAUUGAGACUUGCUGCCUGCUAGGCUUGGUUGAGGGGAAGGGCAGCAGGUGAUUGGCUGGGCUGGACCUCAAUCAGCAGGUGGGCGGGUCUUGAUCGAGUGUCCGUCAGGUUAAAAACAUCCGCGGGAGAUGGCUCAGGGCUGCUGCAAGGCCUGCCGUUUUCACGGCACCUUUGAUUUAUAGUUUGUGGUAUUGUGGUUUAUUUUGCACUUUUGUACAGCUUGAUGUACUGGUCCUCUGUGCGUUACCAUCGCUGGUAACGUCACAUGACCACCUUUAUUUUACUUUCGUUUUCUGUUUGUUUGUUUGUGAAUAAAACCUGCGCGCCUGUGCCGGCGUUUUCAACAACACCACGUCUGUCUCUCUGUAUGCUUGGACAGCGGCUACCCACACGCGUGACACGAGGAAGACCCUGUCACACCUUCCAAGACAGAUUUUGCUGCCAGUGUUUGCUGUUGGUGUUGCUGGUCUUUUGUUAAUUACUCUUUACUAUAUAAAAUGGAGACACACCAAUGCUGCAGAUCUCCCUCCCGACCGGUGAGGGCGCUAGGGAGGAGGAGCAGACAUCCCCAGGAAAGGUGGAAGUCGGCCACCUGGAAAGGGGGCGGAACCACGGUGCGCAACGUCAUCAACCCAGACGGGAAGCGCUGUGGCAAUCGCGUAUUGGCUGACGGCGGUUGCCCUCUCUGACCAAUGGGGACAGGAUGGAGCGUACAAAAGGGGGCGUGGCACAGGGUUCUGUUCCUUCUGGCAAGAGCACUAACGGGACGCUCCGGGAAUACGUCGGAGGAGCACGGACCCGGAAGUGCCGGACUGUUUACUGUGGUUCACCUCGUUUGGAUUGAGGAAGGACAGACUGUGUUUUGCUGAUUCUAGUUGUUUUGGUUUUUCGUUUCAUUUGGGACUGCAACCCUUUUCCCCUUUGUUUGGUCGGGUUACACAUUGUUGUGUAUCCCGGCACUAUUAUUAUUAUUAUUAUUAUUAUUGUUUGAUCGGGUUACACAUUGCUGUGUAUCCCGGUAUUAUUAUUGUUGGUUUUUUUGUGUGACGAAUUAAAGCCGGGAGCUUAUACCAACAAACCUGGACUGGUCUGACGAUCAACUUUUUAAAUCAAUGUGACAGGUAGCUGAGUGGGUGACGUCACGGCAGAAACAGGAACACAAACGACAGAGAGAGAUGGAGUUUGGUGGAGCUGAGCGAAUGCUUUCGCUCAGCAUUUAAUGAAUAAACAGACAGAAAAUAAACGGUUGUAACAAAAACACAGGACACGGCACUUUAGGCCAAAAUAAAAUAGAUAAACAAAACAGACUAUACAGACAAACAGACACGGACAGACACACAAACACGGUGAGUGAAACAACUAUCAAUUUACUUUGCUUUAUUUUACUCUUCUCCACACCCGUUCUCCACUCACCGAACACCCAACCACCAGCGAGUGAAAACAUGCAGCUUUUAUGCAGUUGUACCGAGACUCGAUUGCUAGUCAAUCAUUCAAUUGGAAUCUCGGUAGAACUGCACGUGAAUUAAUUAAAGUGCAAUUCCCCGUGCUCACAUAUUAUUACUUUUUACUUGCACGUGAUGUGAUGUGCCAUCCCCGUGCCUAAAUACAAAUAUACAAUUUACACACACGUGAAACACAGAUCCGCUUAUAUCCCGUGUACCAAUGCCUAUACACCAACAUUUACACACAACACGUAACAUAUAACAUACACAGGGGGGCACUUUGCCACAAUCAAUAAUAUUAUAUAUAUAUAUAUAUAUAUAUAUUACAAGCAAGUCUAUAUUUUGAUGGUCCCUUGACUGGGCUUAACACUAGAAGCCCUGCCGCGGCCAUUUUUGUGGUUUUUUGUGUAACACAUAUGAGGCUGUGCGUUCAUGUACCUUUCUGUCUGUAUGUAUUAAAUAUUCUCACUAAUCAUGAAACAUGGGAGUGCAGAAAUAAAGGAGAUAUUACAUUAUACCUAAAAGCCCCGGGAGCAGUCACAUUGACGGCCACACAGA